rnacentral:misc_RNA from 1 species
GAUGAAGAACGUAGCGAAAUGCGAUAAGUAACGUGAAUUGCAGAAUUCAGUGAAUCAUCGAAUCUUUGAACGCACAUUGCGCCCUUUGGCAUUCCGAAGGGCACACCUGUCCGAGCGCCGUCGCACAACUGAGGCGCAGCCUUGCGUUGGCGGGCGACUUGUGAGUAGCGAGUCGCCGCCCAAACGAGACGGCGCCGCGCCGCGGCCGACGAAGCACGAAAGCGGAAGUCGACGCGGAGGCGGUUGCCUGUAGGAAGACACAGCUUGGCCUCGGAUCAGGUGGGGAUACCCGCUGAACUUAAGCAUAUCAAUAAGCGGAGGA